GACAGAGGUGCCAAGCGUUAGGCGGAAUCACUGGGCUUAAAGCGUGUGUAGGUGGAAGCGUAAGUACCUUGUGAAAUCCCACGGCUUAACUGUGGAACGGCUGGGCAUACUGGCGGUCUUGAGCCAUCUAGGGGCGACUGGAACAAACGGUGGAGCGGUGAAAUGCGUAGAUAUCGUUUGGAACGCCAAUGGUGAAAAACAGGUCGCUGGGGAUGAGCUGACGCUGAGACACGAAAGCCAGGGGAGCAAACGGG
rnacentral:rRNA from 1 species